AACGAGCGCUGGCGGCAUGCCUAACACAUGCAAGUCGAACGAAGCCUUCGGGCUUAGUGGCGCACGGGUGCGUAACGCGUGGGAAUCUGCCCUUGGGUUCGGAAUAACAGUUAGAAAUGACUGCUAAUACCGGAUGAUGUCUUCGGACCAAAGAUUUAUCGCCCAAGGAUGAGACCGCGUAGGAUUAGGUAGUUGGUGGGGUAAUGGCCCACCAAGCCGACGACCCGUAGCUGGUCUGAGAGGAUGAUCAGCCACACUGGGACUGAGACACGGCCCGGACGCCUCCGGGAGGCAGCAGUGGGGAAUAUUGAACAAGGGGCGACAGCCUGAUCCAGCAAUGCCGCGUGAGUGAUGAAGGCCUUAGGGUCGUAAAGCUCUUUUACCAGCGAUGAUAAUGACAGUACCUGGAGAAUAAGCUCCGGCUAACUCCUUGCCAGCCGCCGCGGUAA
rnacentral:rRNA from 1 species